rnacentral:rRNA from 1 species
UACGUAGGGUGCAAGCGUUUGUCCGGAAUUAUUGGGCGUAAAGAGCUCGUAGGCGGUUUGUCGCGUCUGCUGUGAAAACCCGAGGCUCAACCUCGGGCCUGCAGUGGGUACGGGCAGACUAGAGUGCGGUAGGGGAGAUUGGAAUUCCUGGUGUAGCGGUGAAAUGCGCAGAUAUCAGGAGGAACACCGGUGGCGAAGGCGGGUCUCGUGGGCCGAUACUGACGCUGAGGAGCGAAAGCGUGGGGAGCGAACAGG